rnacentral:rRNA from 1 species
CAGGCUUAACACAUGCAAGUCGAGGGGCAGCAUGGUCUUAGCUUGCUAAGGCCGAUGGCGACCGGCGCACGGGUGAGUAACACGUAUCCAACCUGCCGUCUACUCUUGGACAGCCUUCUGAAAGGAAGAUUAAUACAAGAUGGCAUCAUGAGUCCACAUGUUCACAUGAUUAAAGGUAUUCCGGUAGACGAUGGGGAUGCGUUCCAUUAGAUAGUAGGCGGGGUAACGGCCCACCUAGUCUUCGAUGGAUAGGGGUUCUGAGAGGAAGGUCCCCCACAUUGGAACUGAGACACGGUCCAAACUCCUACGGGAGGCAGCAGUGAGGAAUAUUGGUCAAUGGGCGAGAGCCUGAACCAGCCAAGUAGCGUGAAGGAUGACUGCCCUAUGGGUUGUAAACUUCUUUUAUAAAGGAAUAAAGUCGGGUAUGCAUACCCGUUUGCAUGUACUUUAUGAAUAAGGAUCGGCUAACUCCGUGCCAGCAGCCGCGGUAAUACGGAGGAUCCGAGCGUUAUCCGGAUUUAUUGGGUUUAAAGGGAGCGUAGAUGGAUGUUUAAGUCAGUUGUGAAAGUUUGCGGCUCAACCGUAAAAUUGCAGUUGAUACUGGAUAUCUUGAGUGCAGUUGAGGCAGGCGGAAUUCGUGGUGUAGCGGUGAAAUGCUUAGAUAUCACGAAGAACUCCGAUUGCGAAGGCAGCCUGCUAAGCUGCAACUGACAUUGAGGCUCGAAAGUGUGGGUAUCAAACAGGAUUAGAUACCCUGGUAGUCCACACGGUAAACGAUGAAUACUCGCUGUUUGCGAUAUACAGCAAGCGGCCAAGCGAAAGCGUUAAGUAUUCCACCUGGGGAGUACGCCGGCAACGGUGAAACUCAAAGGAAUUGACGGGGGCCCGCACAAGCGGAGGAACAUGUGGUUUAAUUCGAUGAUACGCGAGGAACCUUACCCGGGCUUAAAUUGCAGAUGAAUUACGGUGAAAGCCGUAAGCCGCAAGGCAUCUGUGAAGGUGCUGCAUGGUUGUCGUCAGCUCGUGCCGUGAGGUGUCGGCUUAAGUGCCAUAACGAGCGCAACCCUUGUUGUCAGUUACUAACAGGUUCUGCUGAGGACUCUGACAAGACUGCCAUCGUAAGAUGUGAGGAAGGUGGGGAUGACGUCAAAUCAGCACGGCCCUUACGUCCGGGGCUACACACGUGUUACAAUGGGGGGUACAGAGAGCCGCUACCACGCGAGUGGAUGCCAAUCCCAAAAACCUCUCUCAGUUCGGACUGGAGUCUGCAACCCGACUCCACGAAGCUGGAUUCGCUAGUAAUCGCGCAUCAGCCACGGCGCGGUGAAUACGUUCCCGGGCCUUGUACACACCGCCCGUCAAGCCAUGGGAGCCGGGGGUACCUGAAGUGCGUAACCGCGAGGAGCGCCCUAGGGUAAAACUGGUGACUGGGGCUA